UUGUUGGUGGUUUUUUUUUUUUUUUUUUUUGAGUCCUCUCUAUCUUGGCUGACUUGAGGGCAAAGGAGGUAUUACGGUAUUGGUAUUAAUUAAUUUGUAAAAUCAAUUGAAGUUUAUCAAACACAUACUGUAAUCAGAAUUUACUAAUAAGAGAUGGUCCCUUGCCCCUCCUGGAGUCCACCUGAGCGAGGCACAAAAUUUUGAAAAGUAAACAUGAUCACGCAAGUGCACGUUCGUAAGAGUGUUACGGGCCUGCCGCUUCCAGCAGACUGCCUGCCGCGUGGUGUACAAAUGCUCGAGAUAAUCAUUAAGUACUGUGGGAGCAGGGAAGGGGGGACAUACGCAGCGGGAGAGAGAUCAGAGAAAACUUCCUGAAGCAGGCGAUGUCAUGAUGAUGCUUCAGAGGACAGGAAGAUGUGUGCCCUGCCGACGGGCAGGGUCGAUAUUCUGGGAGAGAGGCUGGCAUGAGGACAUUGGAGAUACCUGACCCCCUUUGAGGCCCUAAAAGUACGUGCAGGGUUGCCAGAGGGCUUAAAGGGGCGAUGGGAAGUGGAGGUCCGAAUGUACGUUCUUUGAGGGCUGGUCUCCCCAGACUUGAGCGGAACAUGUCCUUGGGGAGUUGUGUGCUGCGAAUAGUUGCCGGCUCCCCCAGAUGUCAGUGUCUCCUGAAACAGGUGUAAGAGGUGUGCACUGUGAUGUGGAAAUACCAGUAUCGGAUCAGUUCGUCAGUACCCAGUGAAGGUCCUGCAGAAUGUGGGCAGCAAGGUGCAGUAUAUGGGAUGUUAUGUGAAAGUCUUGGAUAUGCACAGUCUUAGUUUGCCCAGAAAGAGGCCAGAUGAGGAGGGUGCAGGGAGGGCUGUUAGACGAGCCAUGGCAGCGUCCACGCCCGCCGUCUCCUGGCGGUUCGCAGCUUGGCUCAGAUGGAAAUCACCUGGCUAAAAAAAAAUUGGGUAUAACUGACACACAGUGAAAUGCACGGAUCUUACAAAUCAGUGGAUUUUGACUGACAGACGUAAGCCACGUAACCAGUCAAGGUGGAGAGCAUAAUCAUCCCCGAGAGCCGUGUAGGCUCUUCCUAACCCGUCCCGUGCCAGCUCCCAGCGGCUUCCUCCCGCCCUUCUGAUUCCCGCCUGCCUGGCUUGGUUGCUCCCGGUUGGAGCUCCCGUGGAAACGGGACUCAUACCGCAUGUCCUCCUGCGUCUGGCUUCUUUUGUUCGACGUAAUCCUUUCCAGAUUCUUCCAGGUUGUUGCACAUGUCAGUUCGUUGUUCUUUUUUAACGGCUGAGUAGUAGGCCGUUGGGUAAACACAGUGCGGUGUGUUUAACCCUUUACUGCCCUGUUGAUUGCCAUUGGAAUUGUUUUGAACUUUCGGCUGUUACAAGGUUUUUAAACGGACGUAGGUCUUCAUUUCUGUUGUGUAGGUGUCUGGGCGUGGAACUGUGGGGUCAUAAGGUAAGCGAGUAUAUGUUUAACUUUAGAAGAAACUGCCAAACCGUUUUCCAGAGUGGUUGUCCCAACUUACGUGCCCAGCAGCGUUUGCCGAGACUUCCCGUUGCUCCACAGUCUCAGAAAUAUUUGGCGGUGUCGGUCUUUGUGAUUCUAGCCGCUCUGGUGGGGGAUAAACUUAGGACCUCAUUAUGGUUUGAGUUCGCAUUUUCCUGAUGACUCACAGUGUCAUCUUCUUUCAUAUGCUGUUUGUUCAAGUCUUUUGCCUGUUUUAAAAUCGGGAUGUUUGUAUGUUCGCCACUGAUCUGUCGGGGUUCUUCAGUAUUCUGGCACAGGUUGCUUGUCAGACACAUGCAGUAAGAAUCUUUCUGCCGGUCUGUGGUUGGCCUUUUCAGACUUCCUAGUGAUGUUUUUGGAUGAGCAGAAGUUUUCAGUUUUGAUGAAGUCUUGCUUAUCUUCUUUUUCCCUUACGUGUUUCAGGUCUUUUGUGCCCUCUCCAAGAACUCUUGGCUUACCUUAUAUUAGAGAACUACUGUCCCUUGUUUUCUUCUAGAAGCUUUAUCCACAUUCUGGUGUAUGAUCCAUUCUGAUUUUCGUGUGUGGUGUGCGGUAAGAGUGAGAGCUCGUUUUUCCUCCCUUAUGUUUGUCCAGUUGUCCUAACAUCAUAGGAAAGACUUUCCUUUACUCAUUGAAUAUAGUUGGUGCAUUUGUUGAAAAUCCUUGCCUGUUUAAGUCUAUUUCUGCUUAUGCCUGUUGAUGGACUCUGAGUUCUGCUUCGUUGGCGCGCUCGCCUGUCCGUCUCCCGGGACCACGCCGCCUUCCUCACCGCAGCUUUACAGGAAGCGUUGAACCCCAGUAGCCUGGAUCGCAUCUUUGUUCUUUUUUUUCCCCCAAAGAUGGUUUUGACUAUUCUAGGUCCUUUGCUUUUCCAUAUAAGACUUUAGAAUCCCGUCAGAUUGCUAAAAACUGACACCAGCAGUGCUUUACAGAAUCCUGUGACCCUGCGCCAUCCCCAUGCCGGUUCCGUCCGAAUCUUCUGGGGCUGGAGCCCAGGUGCUGAUGUGUUGAGACUCCCGGGUCCUUCCCGGUGUAGCAGAGGUUGAGCGCUGAUGUGCUAAUGGGGUUUCAGGGUGUGGCUCGCCAAAAAGAAAUGCAGCAGCGGGUUAUUGCGGUGGGGCUCACCGUGGUGGCGUGUGUGUGAGCGUUGCAGGGGCCCCCAGUGGAGGAGAUGGUCAGUGUUCCAGGAAAAGGGGGAGAGCUCUGGGAAGACCGCGGGGAGGGAGUGUUGGGUCUCCGCCCCUGGGGACUCCCGCUGCCCAGGUGCUGCUUUUGGCUACCAUUCCUGAUCAUUCGGAGGGAUGUGCUCACUUUAAGGCUGCCACAGACGUACCCUAAGAGCUAGUAGCUUGCACGCGAAGGAAUGCUGGUGGUUGGUAAAGCACAUAAACGCAUUAUUUGGAGGACGGCCCUCCCCGGAGUAGGAAGUGUUGGGCGGCACGAUAAUGAACUGCGUAGGCACAUUCUAAAGUGAUUAUGUGGGUUUUUGCUUUUUUGAAGGUUCCUCUGUCUUUUUAAAUUUUAAUGUCUUUAGGCAAACAUUGAUUCAUCGUUCUUCCCAUGGUGGGUAGUUCUGUCCUAAGUGCUGCCUCCCUAAAAGGCUUUCAAGAAAAAAGGCACAAAAAGUUGAAAUAAUGUUGCUCUUUGGGAACAUACAAGCUCUGUGGGCUGGUAGGUGCUUGCUUGUGGCUUUUCUUUCUUUCUUUCUUUCUUUUUUUUUUUUUU